rfam:Triticum aestivum genome assembly, contig: Triticum_aestivum_CS42_TGACv1_scaffold_405236_5BL
AGAUUGCUCCCUCCGUCCCAAAAAUUUUGUCUUAGAUGUAGUUAUAUUUAGUUUUAGAUACAUCCGUAUCUAGACAAAUCUAAGACAAGAAUUUUGGGACAGAGGGAGUACAUU